GGUUUGUGGCUCAGUGGUAGAGUGCUCACCUAGCAUGUGCAAGGCCCUGGGUUCGAUCCUUAGCACCA
rnacentral:tRNA from 1 species